rnacentral:rRNA from 1 species
UGGGGAAUAUUGCACAAUGGGCGCAAGCCUGAUGCAGCCAUGCCGCGUGUGUGAAGAAGGCCUUCGGGUUGUAAAGCACUUUCAGCGAGGAGGAAGGUGGUGAGCUUAAUACGCUCAUCAAUUGACGUUACUCGCAGAAGAAGCACCGGCUAACUCCGUGCCAGCAGCCGCGGUAAUACGGAGGGUGCAAGCGUUAAUCGGAAUUACUGGGCGUAAAGCGCACGCAGGCGGUUUGUUAAGUCAGAUGUGAAAUCCCCGGGCUCAACCUGGGAACUGCAUUUGAAACUGGCAAGCUAGAGUCUCGUAGAGGGGGGUAGAAUUCCAGGUGUAGCGGUGAAAUGCGUAGAGAUCUGGAGGAAUACCGGUGGCGAAGGCGGCCCCCUGGACGAAGACUGACGCUCAGGUGCGAAAGCGUGGGGCAGCAAACAGGAUUAGAUACCCUGGUAGUCCAGCGCUGUAAACGAUGUCGAUUUGGAGGUUGUGCCCUUGAGGCGUGGCUUCCGGAGCUAACGCGUUAAAUCGACCGCCUGGGGAGUACGGCCGCAAGGUUAAAAC